rnacentral:rRNA from 1 species
AAAUUGAAGAGUUUGAUCAUGGCUCAGAUUGAACGCUGGCGGCAGGCCUAACACAUGCAAGUCGAACGGUAACAGAAAAGCAGCUUGCU